GGAGUCCACCAUGAACAAUGCAAGAUCAGAGCUUCAGAAAUUAUCCCUCUGACUCAUGGGGGAGUGAUUGGGUUGGCAUUGAGGGUGAAGCUAGUGUACUCAUUCUCACUCCAGUUUGAACACCCAAAGUGAGCUUGUACCAUCUGUAUAAGUGAGAUGCAUCAAUGGAGCUAGAUGUUCAGAAAAUGCUACACUAGGUCAGCCAGGAAGAAGCCACCAUACUCUGGGGCAGUGUAUGUUCCUAUAGCUGAAAAGAGGAAGGAAGAUAAUGUGGUGGUGUGUGUGUGUGGUCACUGGCAGAGGAAGAGGAGUGCGGGGGUAGUGCUCCGGCAGUGCGAUCCUGGUAGGGUGCCAUCGUGGCUGCCCCCACCCACGCUGGGUGCCAUGCCCCUGCAGGUGGCAUGCCCCGCCCCCAGGACGCCCCAGAACAUGCGCCAGCACUGCCCCCGCCUGCCAGAGCAUGAAACUCCGCCACUGGGUGUGGUUCCUGGCAUAGCGAGUGUGUUCCAGAAAGCCAGCUUGGAAAAAAUGGUUUUGUAGCCUGAACUUUUAAACUACAAGUAGUUACAUUAUGAGAACAAAACAAUGUAGAACAUAAACAACAGCAAGGCUUAUUGCUGCUCUGCAAAAGAAAAAAGUUGCAAAAAAAAUCCCACACCUGCUGAUGCAGUUUUUGUAAGUUCUGUGAAUGUCUCUGCCUUGCAAGAUCCUGUUUGUAUUAUUCUAGUUCAUACUAAUAUAAGUACUAUAUUGUAAUUCUGGUCCCAGAUUAGCAAACCAGGAAAGCUGAAUCCUAGUCCUGAGAUGACCAGGAACUGAUGCAACAUACUAAUUAUAUCAAGUUUAAAUUACUGCCUAUACACAAAACCUGCAGGGAAGGGAGAUGGCAGAGUUCACUAGCCAGUGUCAUUGGGAAAUGUUGAAAGGAAAUAUUGGCGUCUUAAAUAAUGUUGUUUGGACAGAGAGCUCAUCCUUCAAAGUUCAUCCUUGCCAAUUGAAACACUCAACCUCACUUUAGUCAAGUGCUACAAGAGAAGAUAUGUUUUGUACACAUAUUGGAUUUUUUUUUUCUGGGGAAAAAAUAAAAAUAAAAAGGAAAUAUAUCUUGAUUUCUGCUUUCCAGGGGACAGUUAACAUACAAUCUUACAGUAACUGCAGCAUCAGCUGGGAUAGUUCUGAUGCAUAUGGAAAUGAAUCAUACCAUCUUUUGUUAAGUACUGGAAUUAUCUGCUUAAGACACUAUAUUCAUAAUUUCACUUGCACAUGAUUCGUGAAAUGAUGGAGGACACUUUCAGCCCCAUGAUUACUGCUUCUUGCUCCAGGAAGAUCAGCAUUCAGUGCUGAAAAUAUACUGGGGCAAUGGGGACUACAAGUGCUCUAUGAAAUGUUUGAAGGAGUUUUGCCGUACGAUUUUUGCAGCCCAUUGGAAUCAGCACUCUGCUUGGGCUUUGCACAUUGGAGGAAUAAGCUCAUUUCUCAGUGCUACCAUUAUAUCAAGUAUUAUGGUUGAUAUUCUAUGCGGUACCAAAACAAUGAUAAAUAAGUCUCAUGGUAAAUAUAACACCAUGAAAAAUAGGGCUGCACAGCUCAUCAGUUAUAUCACUUUGCUACUUUUAAAGCUCAGUAUGCUGCUAUAUAAUGGGGAAGAAAACUACAGCAGCUGGUUUUUUUAAGGUGGGGUAGGUGAAUUUAUUUUCAAGUUUAAAAAUUCCCAUUGUAUUGCAAUAGAAACCCAUGAGGAUGAUCAAAUCAAAUAAGCAUUUUAACCACUUGAAAAGUUAGGUAUUAAUUCAUCCUAGCAGAUUUUUGUUUGAUUUUAUUUAUCUAGUACUUACGCACCUGUUCAUUCAUUUUGAUUGUUUAACUAGAUAUGUGAAGAAAUAUGGCAAAUAUCAAUCACAGGGAGAAAAGACCAAGGCCAUAUUUAUUUGACCAGGGCCAGUUCAUCAGGUCUCCUGGGAGGGAGUAGCAAAUAUGAUGCCCUCCAGAUGUUGUGGACCACAACUCUCAUAAUUCCUGACCAUUGCCCAUGCUCCCUCGGACAGAUGGGAGCUGUAGUCCACAGCAGCUGGAGAGCACCAUGUUGGCUACCCGUGUCCUAAAGCAUCUCAACAGGUCCCUUGUUUGCUUAAGUAAAAAACUAUCAAAUUCAGAGAAGUACAAAUUUUGAAGGAUAGCUGUGUUUCAGAUAACUUACUAUUUCAAAAAGUUUUAAAUAGGAAGGAUCUCAUUAAAAUUCACACCAAAAUGAAUUUAUCCCCCAUCCUUAGCAGCAACCCUCUGAAACCUUGCCAAUGAGGACUAUGAUGGGUUUCGCUUGCUCCGCCUAGGAGAUUCCUAUGAAAUAAUAAGUUUUCUUUGGAUUCAAUGAAUGUGCGUUUUACUUAUUCAUUCACUCCCUCCUCAGACAUCUUGGGCUACCUUUCAAAGGACUGUAGGAUUGCUUACCUAUUAUCAGGCCUCACCUUUCAUCAUCAUAUUAGCCUCCUGAUUUAUUAUUUUUAAGGGGGGUGGACAUAUUUUAUUUCUAGAAACAAAGCCAGUGAACAGUAAUUGGUGUUUGAGAUACUCAACCUGGUGCCUUCCAGAUGUUUUGGGACUACAACUCCCAUCAGCCCUAGCUGGCACAGCCAGUGGAAAGGGAUGAUGCAAGUUGUAGCCCAAAGCAUGUGGAAGGUACCAGCUUGGGGACAUCUGCUCCAGAAUAUCCUGAAAGAAAACAAGAGUGGCCCAUUCAUAAUGAACAAACAUAGCAAAUCUUUCAAGUUGAAGACAUUUUUUCCAUCAUAUGUUGAUGUUUUAGAAAUACUCUUUUUUCCCAUUUUAAUUAGUGCAUGGAAGAAAUCACAUCAAGCCUCAAGCCCACAAAGAAAACAUUUUUUUCCCCUGCUCAUGUCAAGGUAUUUACAUAGAUCACAGGAUAAUACUGUUUCAAAAAGCAAUGUAAUUUAUUCACCUUUUAAUCAAUGUCUCUUGAAUGAUACAGAGAGAGACAAGAAGAACUUAAUUGCAGCAUGGACCAUGGGAGAAAAGAGAUGAAAUGGAAAGGUCACUCAGAUGUACGGACUCCACCAAGUGGAAGGUCAAAGUGGUACUAGGGGCUUGUCAUCACCAUUUUCCAGACCUAUUUGGAGAACAAAAAGACCGAGAAGAAAAUUAGCAGGAUGAGACUGAUUUUGAGACAUAAAUGAAUGGCGUAAGGACUAGUGAGUCUGCACAAGUUCCAUGAACUAAUUCAUAAACAGUUGGAAUGAAGCCAUGGAAGCUUAAACAAUCCCAUCAUUAUAAAUGUUAAAGAGGUUGCGUGGCAUUUGUAAUACAGCAGGUAAGAACAUGGUAAAAAAAAUGCAAGCAUAUACCUUUACCAUAUUCUUAUGUGCUGUGUUUAGAAGUCCACACCAUGACACGGUGGUUUCUAGUAAUUUAGUAUACCAGAAUAUGAUGCUACUCCAACUGAGCUCUCACUCAUUGUUCAGUCUCCCUGCAGACUGGAUUUGGCCUGGCAACCAUAAGAAGAUUAUGGUAAGCUGAACUCUGCACUUCUUCAUGUUCCAGGGUUGUUGUUGCUUUUAAGAAGCCAAACUUUGUUUGCCCUGACCAUAUCUCUGCGUAUCCUUGCAUAUGAAUGAAGUAUCUUACAGUGACAUCUUGUCAACUCAAUGCUUAUUUAUUUAUUUACAUAUUAAGAUCCCUAGAUCACCACAUCCCAGAGGCCUAGCAUAAAUAACUGAACUGUGCAAAUACAGCAAGAGACAGUUCGCUGUCAGAAAGGCUAAGAAUCUAACACUCAUGUCAGUAGCUUCCAGAAUGAGAACCAUUUAGGCUGCAAUCCUCUGCACACUUACCUGGAAGCAAAUCCCACUGAACUUAUUGUUCUUACUUCUGAGUAGAUAUGUAUAGGAUUUGCUAGGAUAUGUAAGGGAAUAAUGGAGAUCUGUUUGAAAGUAGUCACUCUCUCAGUCCUGAAAGUUUGUUAAAAUGGAAAUGAUAUUGAUUUGCUGAUAAAAGUGUCGUGAUUUUUAAAGAGAUAAGGGCCAAACUAUGGAAAAUCACAGUCAAACGUAAUGAGGUAUAAGUGCCAGUUAGUGCAUGAAGGGGUUAAGACCAAAGAGGUCUGUUCCUAGACUCAGCGAGAUCACAUCCACUUACCUCAGUGAGGGAGGAAGUGAAACUGCUUCUCUUCUCUUCCUUUCCUCUCCCUCCCAGCUAUAUAACCGAC